rnacentral:rRNA from 1 species
GAUGAACGCCGGCGGCGUGCCUAAUACAUGCAAGUCGAGCGAACAGAUGAGGAGCUUGCUCCUCUGACGUUAGCGGCGGACGGGUGAGUAACACGUGGAUAACCUACCUAUAAGACUGGGAUAACUUCGGGAAACCGGAGCUAAUACCGGAUAAUAUAUUGAACCGCAUGGUUCAAUAGUGAAAGACGGUUUUGCUGUCACUUAUAGAUGGAUCCGCGCCGCAUUAGCUAGCUGGUAAGGUAACGGCUUACCAAGGCAACGAUGCGUAGCCGACCUGAGAGGGUGAUCGGCCACACUGGAACUGAGACACGGUCCAGACUCCUACGGGAGGCAGCAGUAGGGAAUCUUCCGCAAUGGGCGAAAGCCUGACGGAGCAACGCCGCGUGAGUGAUGAAGGUCUUCGGAUCGUAAAACUCUGUUAUUAGGGAAGAACAAAUGUGUAAGUAACUAUGCACGUCUUGACGGUACCUAAUCAGAAAGCCACGGCUAACUACGUG